UCACCUAUAAUUUAAUUGGUAAAAUAAUAGUAUACGGAACUAUUUAUAUAAGUUCAAAUCUUAUUAGGUGAU
rnacentral:tRNA from 1 species